rnacentral:rRNA from 1 species
GAUGAACGCUGGCGGCGUGCCUAAUACAUGCAAGUCGAGCUAACGGACGAGAAGCUUGCUUCUCUGAUGUUAGCGGCGGACGGGUGAGUAACACGUGGAUAACCUACCUAUAAGACUGGGAUAACUUCGGGAAACCGGAGCUAAUACCGGAUAAUAUUUUGAACCGCAUGGUUCAAAAGUGAAAGACGGUCUUGCUGUCACUUAUAGAUGGAUCCGCGCUGCAUUAGCUAGUUGGUAAGGUAACGGCUUACCAAGGCAACGAUGCAUAGCCGACCUGAGAGGGUGAUCAGCCACACUGGAACUGAGACACGGUCCAGACUCCUACGGGAGGCAGCAGUAGGGAAUCUUCCGCAAUGGGCGAAAGCCUGACGGAGCAACGCCGCGUGAGUGAUGAAGGUCUUCGGAUCGUAAAACUCUGUUAUUAGGGAAGAACAUAUGUGUAAGUAACUGUGCACAUCUUGACGGUACCUAAUCAGAAAGCCACGGCUAACUACGUG